AAAUGAUUGCAAAGUCCUUAUCAUGUUUAUAGCAGUGAUGGAAUAGACUGCUGGCUUGCAAAAGGUCUCUUUGGUAACUUCCAAAAGAUUGGAUGGUCCUCAGUCCAUUGUUCAAAAUACUCAUUUUAUGUGUAAAUCCACAGUCCAGAGAAUUGGUACAGGAAUGAGGCAAAAAAUGGAGAUGUCUCAGGUGUCUUUUAUAUCCUCUGCCAUGUACAUGGAAAUUCACUGUCCCAAACAAAGCCCACAGCCCCUUUGUAUGGAAAAUUACUGACGAAGACUGAGUCUGAGGUCACAUGUCCACAUCACAUGAUCUUACAUCUUUUGCUGAAUCACGGGUGGCCCUUGGCUCCUUGCUGGCUGAGGCAGCUGCAGGAAGACUCAUUGAAGAGCUGAUCUCCCUGAAUGGUUCAUCGACAUUGGGCUGGCUAGAUAGGAUAUAAAACUACCUUGUGGGUGUCACCCCAGAACAAAACACAUGUUUGAGAUACAAAUAGCAAAUAGUCAUUACUUCAGAUACAAAGAUGAAACAUGCAUAUAAGUAGGAUUAACAUACUUAGCAGAUUACAACUUUUCCAUUGAUAUCUUACAUGACCUACUUUUUAUAUAAGAUUUUUUGCAAUUGCAUAACACUGGUAGCAACAAUGAUAUAAAUGGUCAUCAUCAAUCAUACAGCAUCACAGAGCUUUUGGGGGGGGCGGGGGGGAGGCCUAACUAUUUACCGUAUUUUAAACCUCCAUUUCAGAAAGUAUACUAGACUCCUGUGGCUUGAUUUCUCCACUGCCUAAUCACUCAUCUCUCUGCAAAGGGAGCUGUAGAAUGCUGUCAGAUCAGACUGUGUAAGGCAGUGAAGAGUCUGGCUGCCUACUCAUUUUCCAAGUGUAGAGAGGGGCCUUAUUGUAGUGGUGAAGUCUAUUAGUAGGCCUGAUUAUCUGUUGCAUUGCACCUUGUAUAGUCAUUUACACCAAUAUAAAGUGCUGCUGAAUCAGAAUGACAGCAUUUUUUGUGCCCUUUCUGCAGUGGUAUUAAUGACUGCAGUAGGUGAAGGGCAACACACAAUUGGUUCCCGUGGCUCUAACAAUAAAUAUUGUGGGAGAGCACAGCAAUACCUUGCUAGCCAUAAGAGUAUUUUAAAAAACCAUUUUUUUAAACAUGAGAUGAUCUGAUUCUGAACUUGGGCCUCUGUCUACAAGGAAAAAAUCAGUGCAAGUGAGUAUGACCCCAUUGAUUUAAUCAUUGCUCCCAUUUACGCCAGGACUGAAUUUGGCCUAGUGCUUGUAACAGACUGAGCUAGACAGUGCUAGCUAAUUUAGUCAGAACAUAAGUUAAAGUACAAUAAGCCCUCUGAACCAGUAAAACUGUAACUAAUAGCGGGUUUCCUUGUAACAGAUGGAACGUCAUCUGUCAAGAUUUCAUAUUUGAUACAGGAUAGAAAUUAUUGGCAAAAUAGAAUUAUUGGAAAGUCUGGGUCAUGUCUCAUUAAAUUUUGGGUCCAGAGAGGAUGGAAUAAAUUACUUCAGGCACAGUCCAAAAUCAACUCAAUGGAAAGCAAAUUGACAUCCAAAAGGACAUCAGUCAGGAAAGACAGUUCAUACUUGUGUAGAUUAACUUUCCCCAACUUUGGGCUAGAAAUGUUUUCAUAUGGUUGAUUCUAUGUUCAUCUAAAUUUCUCUUUUUUUCCUAACAAACCUCAUUUACUUAAAAUCAUUGUGCUCUUGGUUUCUUUAUGAUAGAUUGACACACAGCCAUCCUGGAGAGGGAACCAAACCUUUAGAUUCUGAGGAGGUGUAAUACAGAAGACUUACAUUUGAGGGGGGAAACUGAUGCAGAAAGGUGAAGUGACUUGUCCAAGGCUAUGCAGCGAGUCAGCAGCAGGUCUGGGAUUAGAACCCGAGACCUCUUCAUUCCCAGCCCUGCUGUUUUCUCUGGAUUACACUAGUUUAAUGCUGUGCAGAUGCCCAAAGGAACAGAAGGCAGCUCAUUCCGCUUUGCUUUCCACUGCAAUGGGGAGCUUCUGCUCUACUCAGUCUGAAUUGGAAGGUGUAAGUGGUAAUUUUUCUUACAUAUUUAUAGCCACAUAAGUGAUGUGGAUGAGUAAUUGGCUAGUGCUAAGAGUUGCUGAUUAUUGUUCCCAUUCAUUUAGUCAGAAUGUAGUUUUGCAGUUAGUCUGUAAUUCCACAUCUUAAAACCCCCUGGGUAAGGAAAUACUUCUGGUCUGAUUAACAUGCUGCAAAUAAGAGCAGCAGUUGAUUAGGGUUACCAUAUUUCAACAAUCAAAAAAGAGGACGGGAGGAGCCCUGCCCUAGCC